rnacentral:tRNA from 1 species
GACCGCGUAGCUCAGUUGGCAGAGCGUUGGGCUAGUAUUCCAAAGUUCGUAGGUUCGAUUCCCAGCGUGGCCA